CCUACGGGUGGCAGCAGUGGGGAAUAUUGCACAAUGGGGGAAACCCUGAUGCAGCGACGCCGCGUGAAGGAAGAAGUAUUUCGGUAUGUAAACUUCUAUCAGCAGGGAAGAAAAUGACGGUACCUGACUAAGAAGCCCCGGCUAACUACGUGCCAGCAGCCGCGGUAAUACGUAGGGGGCAAGCGUUAUCCGGAUUUACUGGGUGUAAAGGGAGCGUAGGCGGUGCCGCAAGUCAGAAGUGAAAGCCCGGGGCUCAACUCCGGGACUGCUUUUGAAACGGUUGAACGAGAUUGCAGGAGAGGUCAGUGGAAUUCCUCGUGUCGCGGUGAAAUGCGUAGCUAUUAGGCGGAACACCAGUGGCGAAGGCGGCUUACUGGACUGUACAUGCCGCUGCGGCUCGACAGUGUGUGGAGCAAACCGGAUUCGAUACCCCAGUAGUC
rnacentral:rRNA from 1 species